UGGCUGUCGUCAGCUCGUGUCGUGAGAUGUUGGGUUAAGUCCCGCAACGAGCGCAACCCUCAUUCUUAUUUGCCAGCGGGUAAUGCCGGGAACUAUAAGAAAACUGCUGGUGAUAAGCUGGAGGAAGGUGGGGACGACGUCAAGUCAUCAUGGCCCUUACGGGUUGGGCUACACGCGUGCUACAAUGGUGUUUACAGAGGGAAGCAA
rnacentral:rRNA from 1 species